rnacentral:rRNA from 1 species
CAGUAGCCGCGGUAAUACGAAGGGUGCAAGCGUUAAUCGGAAUUACUGGGCGUAAAGCGCGCGUAGGUGGUUCAUUAAGUUGGAUGUGAAAGCCCUGGGCUCAACCUGGGAACUGCAUCCAAAACUGGUGAGCUAGAGUACGGUAGAGGGUAGUGGAAUUUCCUGUGUAGCGGUGAAAUGCGUAGAUAUAGGAAGGAACACCAGUGGCGAAGGCGACUACCUGGACUGAUACUGACACUGAGGUGCGAAAGCGUGGGGAGCAAACAGGAUCAGAUACCCCAGUAGUCCCUGUCUCUUAUAC